rnacentral:rRNA from 5 species
AGAGUUUGAUCCUGGCUCAGGAUGAACGCUGGCGGCGUGCCUAAUACAUGCAAGUCGAGCGAACGGACGAGAAGCUUGCUUCUCUGAUGUUAGCGGCGGACGGGUGAGUAACACGUGGAUAACCUACCUAUAAGACUGGGAUAACUUCGGGAAACCGGAGCUAAUACCGGAUAAUAUUUUGAACCGCAUGGUUCAAAAGUGAAAGACGGUCUUGCUGUCACUUAUAGAUGGAUCCGCGCUGCAUUAGCUAGUUGGUAAGGUAACGGCUUACCAAGGCAACGAUGCAUAGCCGACCUGAGAGGGUGAUCGGCCACACUGGAACUGAGACACGGUCCAGACUCCUACGGGAGGCAGCAGUAGGGAAUCUUCCGCAAUGGGCGAAAGCCUGACGGAGCAACGCCGCGUGAGUGAUGAAGGUCUUCGGAUCGUAAAACUCUGUUAUUAGGGAAGAACAUAUGUGUAAGUAACUGUGCACAUCUUGACGGUACCUAAUCAGAAAGCCACGGCUAACUACGUGCCAGCAGCCGCGGUAAUACGUAGGUGGCAAGCGUUAUCCGGAAUUAUUGGGCGUAAAGCGCGCGUAGGCGGUUUUUUAAGUCUGAUGUGAAAGCCCACGGCUCAACCGUGGAGGGUCAUUGGAAACUGGAAAACUUGAGUGCAGAAGAGGAAAGUGGAAUUCCAUGUGUAGCGGUGAAAUGCGCAGAGAUAUGGAGGAACACCAGUGGCGAAGGCGACUUUCUGGUCUGUAACUGACGCUGAUGUGCGAAAGCGUGGGGAUCAAACAGGAUUAGAUACCCUGGUAGUCCACGCCGUAAACGAUGAGUGCUAAGUGUUAGGGGGUUUCCGCCCCUUAGUGCUGCAGCUAACGCAUUAAGCACUCCGCCUGGGGAGUACGACCGCAAGGUUGAAACUCAAAGGAAUUGACGGGGACCCGCACAAGCGGUGGAGCAUGUGGUUUAAUUCGAAGCAACGCGAAGAACCUUACCAAAUCUUGACAUCCUUUGACAACUCUAGAGAUAGAGCCUUCCCCUUCGGGGGGCAAAGUGACAGGUGGUGCAUGGUUGUCGUCAGCUCGUGUCGUGAGAUGUUGGGUUAAGUCCCGCAACGAGCGCAACCCUUAAGCUUAGUUGCCAUCAUUAAGUUGGGCACUCUAAGUUGACUGCCGGUGACAAACCGGAGGAAGGUGGGGAUGACGUCAAAUCAUCAUGCCCCUUAUGAUUUGGGCUACACACGUGCUACAAUGGACAAUACAAAGGGCAGCGAAACCGCGAGGUCAAGCAAAUCCCAUAAAGUUGUUCUCAGUUCGGAUUGUAGUCUGCAACUCGACUACAUGAAGCUGGAAUCGCUAGUAAUCGUAGAUCAGCAUGCUACGGUGAAUACGUUCCCGGGUCUUGUACACACCGCCCGUCACACCACGAGAGUUUGUAACACCCGAAGCCGGUGGAGUAACCUUUUAGGAGCUAGCCGUCGAAGGUGGGACAAAUGAUUGGGGUGAAGUCGUAACAAGGUAGCCGUAUCGGAAGGUGCGGCUGGAUCACCU